rnacentral:sRNA from 1 species
AACUAAGUUUAAUGAUCAGUGAAGCUAGAGAAAUAUAGUAACAGACUUUGUUAAAAAAUUAAAAUCUGAGUAUUGUUAUUGAUGAUCAAUUAACACUCAGAUUUUAUUAAAUCGUAUAUUAAAUUUACAAAACUAUUUUUUAGACUUUAUUUUUCCAGUCCAUUUUUUAUAGCCGCCUUUUAACAUAUAGAUAUCUGUAUAUCCAUUCUUUUUCAAAAUACGAGCAGCUCUAUAGCUAGCAAUCCCAUUGGCAUCACAUAAGUAUACCGGUUGGUCUUUUCUUAAUCCUUGGAAUCGUUGCCUGAACAUUGUCAUAGGAAUAUUGCGAGAC